rnacentral:rRNA from 1 species
GACGAACGCUGGCGGCGUGCCUAAUACAUGCAAGUCGAGCGCAGGAAGCUCACGGAACUCUUCGGAGGGAAGUGAAGGGAAUGAGCGGCGGACAGGUGAGUAACACGUAAGGAACCUGCCCCAAGGAUUGGGAUAACUCCGAGAAAUCGGAGCUAAUACCGAAUAGUUCUUCAGACCGCAUGGUCUGAUGAUGAAAGGCGCUCCGGCGUCACCUUGGGAUGGCCUUGCGGUGCAUUAGCUAGUUGGUGGGGUAAUGGCCCACCAAGGCGACGAUGCAUAGCCUACCUGAGAGGGUGAUCGUCCACACUGGGACUGAGACACGGCCCAGACUCCUACGGGAGGCGGCAGUAGGGAAUCUUCCACAAUGGACGAAAGUCUGAUGGAGCAACGCCGCGUGAGUGAUGAAGGUUUUCGGAUCGUAAAACUCUGUUGUAAGGGAAGAACAAGUACGUUAGUAACUGAACGUACCUUGACGGUACCUUACCAGAAAGCCACGGCUAACUACGUGCCAGCCGCCGCCGUAAAAC